AUGCUCGAUUGGGAAGCACAUAUACUAAAAUUGGAAUGAUACAGACAAGAUUAGCAUGGCCUCUGCGCAAGGAUGACACACAAAUUCAAGAAGCGUUCCAUAUUUAA